UGCUCAGCAACUCCUAUCCCUACCACCGCGUGGUACAGGCUGGGAACUAUGAGCAACCUUAGGGAAGA
rnacentral:ribozyme from 1 species